GAUCGGAUGACCACAGAUGGUUCUAAGAUUGAUUUGGACUCGAUAUUCCUAAUGAAACAUUAUUUUGGAGAUUCUAAAGCCUAUAUAGCUCUGAUUGAUAAGGUAUUUAUUGCGUUGGAUAGCUGGUGACAUUCUGAAGGUAUAAAAUGGCUUCAAGAAAGGUUUUAAAGAGCUUUUGUGAGAAUUUUGGAGCUUCUUGUUGAGAGACUCUUAUACAAGGAUUGAGUGGUGAGUUUCUCUUGUAUUGUUAUAUUUUAUUCUGUCAUAGUAAAGCUUGCACACCCCAUGGAGAUAGACUUGAAGUCGAU
rnacentral:lncRNA from 1 species